CAGCCGCCGCGGUAAUACGUAGGUGGCAAGCGUUGUCCGGAAUUAUUGGGCGUAAAGCGCGCGCAGGCGGUUCCUUAAGUCUGAUGUGAAAUCUCGCGGCUCAACCGCGAGCGGCCAUUGGAAACUGGGGAACUUGAGUGCAGGAGAGGGGAGCGGAAUUCCACGUGUAGCGGUGAAAUGCGUAGGGAUGUGGAGGAACACCAGUGGCGACGGCGGCUCUCUGGCCUGUAACUGACGCUGAGGCGCGAAAGCGUGGGGAGCGAACAGGAUUAGAUACCCUGGUAGUCCACGCCGUAAACGAUGAGUGCUAAGUGUUAGAGGGUAUCCACCCUUUAGUGCUGCAGCAAACGCAUUAAGCACUCCGCCUGGGGAGUACGGCCGCAAGGCUGAAACUUAAAGGAAUUGGCGGG
rnacentral:rRNA from 1 species